UACGAAGGGGGCUAGCGUUGCUCGGAAUUACUGGGCGUAAAGCGCACGUAGGCGGCUCUUUAAGUCGGGGGUGAAAUCCUGGAGCUCAACUCCAGAACUGCCUUCGAUACUGAAGAGCUUGAGUCCGGGAGAGGUGAGUGGAACUGCGAGUGUAGAGGUGAAAUUCGUAGAUAUUCGCAAGAACACCAGUGGCGAAGGCGGCUCACUGGCCCGAUACUGACGCUGAGGUGCGAAAGCGUGGGGAGCAAACAGG
rnacentral:rRNA from 1 species